rnacentral:rRNA from 1 species
UACGUAGGGUGCAAGCGUUGUCCGGAUUUAUUGGGUUUAAAGGGUGCGUAGGCGGCCUGUUAAGUCAGUGGUGAAAUCCAACAGCUCAACUGUUGAUGUGCCAAUGAUACUGACAAACUUGAGUACAGACGAAAUAGGCGGAAUUAACAGUAUAACGGUGAAAUGCAUAGAUAUUGUCAAGAACACCGAUAGCGAAGGCAGCUUGCUAGCCUGUAACUGACGCUGAGGCACGAAAGUAUGGGGUCAAACA